rnacentral:rRNA from 1 species
UCCAGACUCCUACGGGAGGCAGCAGUGAGGAAUAUUGGUCAAUGGGCGGGAGCCUGAACCAGCCAAGUCGCGUGAGGGAAGACGGUCCUAUGGAUUGUAAACCUCUUUAGGCGGGGAGCAAUGCCGGGCACGUGUGCCCGGAGGGAGAGUACCCGCAGAAUAAGCAUCGGCUAACUCCGUGCCAGCAGCCGCGGUAAUACGGAGGAUGCGAGCGUUAUCCGGAUUUAUUGGGUUUAAAGGGUGCGUAGGCGGAUUUUUAAGUCAGCGGUAAAAUGUCCGGGCUCACCCCCGGCGAGCCGUUGAAACUGGCUGUCUUGAGAUGUCGAGAGGUAUGCGGAAUGCGCAGUGUAGCGGUGAAAUGCUUAGAUAUCACGCAGAACCCCGAUUGCGAAGGCAGCAUACCGGGGCACAACUGACGCUCAGGCACGAAAGCGUGGGUAUCGAACAGGAUUAGAUACCCGAGUAU